GUUCCCUACGGGGCGCAGCAGUGGGGAAUAUUGGGCAAUGGGCGCAAGCCUGACCCAGCAACGCCGCGUGAAGGAAGAAGGCUUUCGGGUUGUAAACUUCUUUUAUGAGGGACGAAAGAAAUGACGGUACCUCAUGAAUAAGCCACGGCUAACUACGUGCCAGCAGCCGCGGUUAUACGUAGGUGGCCAGCGUUAUCCGGAUUUACUGGGUGUAAAGGGCGUGUAGGCGGGACUGCAAGUCCGAUGUGAAAAUUAUGG
rnacentral:rRNA from 1 species